ensembl:lncRNA
CUCUCGCAUUGCGUCGUGCUGGCACUUUUACUGGCCGGGUCUUAGAGCUGAGCCCGUAGCCAGGCGCCAUCUUUGACGCUGGCAGUCUUGGAUUUCUGCUGGUGUUGCUGCUGUGAGGACGGCGGGCGGCAGCGGCUAAGAAAGAAGAAAGACGUGGCAGCAAGCGGGAGUCGGGGACAGUGUCGGCGGUUCGGUAAAGUUUCUGUUCUCUGAUUUGGGGAUAUUCCCUGCCCAAAAAUUUCCUGGAAAAUUGACUAGUAUUAAGUGUGAGUAAAAGGUGUCCACUUUUUUUUAAGUUUCGAUUUUAGUUUUGUCUUGGAUAGUAUUUGGCAAGAUUUAGCCUAGA